ACAGUGAAACUAAGAUGCACAGCUCGGGUAGGAACCUGCUGGCCCAGCAAGAGAAUCUCUUCUUCGGGGACCCAUUAAGCUAGGCUCUGUCAGAUUGCUGGCCACAGUCCUCGAAAUCAAUUUCGUGACACAUUAAUGGGUUGUGAUUCUGAGUUUGUAAAUAGUUGGUCUGUUUGGACAUUGAAGUUACCCACGAUGAUGGCAAGACUUGGAAUGAAGUGGUGCCAAAGUCUUCAAUGAAUAUGGAGGGGCAGAGGCACAGCUCCAUGCAUUUGUCCUCGUGAAUGGCCUGUGAUUUCAGCACAAUCUAUUAGGUAGUAAUUCCAAUAUCCAAUUGAAGAAUAGAAAGGACUCCCCUGACGCACCAUGGGUAUGUAUCAUUUAAGCAAAAACAAAAGACAAAAGACAGUGGAUACUGAACAACCAGAUUCCCGUUUGUAAAACCUUGGAUCCAUAGUUUCCUCUAAUCCCACAGAAGGUUUUCUCAGACUCUGGCUGUCAGAGAGGAGAACUAUGAACUCACCUACUCAUUCAUGCUGCCCAGAACCAGAUGCACAAAGAACAAACAAGUUUCCCAGCAGGACUCAAAAUAGAAGGGAUGGUGACUGCAUGCCUUACCAUUCGGGAUCCUCUUCUUCCCGGAGAACUCCGCGCAGGCAGGCUUGGAGAGGGAAUGAAUUGAUCUGGCAUCGUGAAGAUUUGUUCAGCCUUCCCUGAGUGCAUCUUCUGACUCCUGGGGUAGAUCCCCUGAUCGCCACCGUCGCAGAAGCUCUGAAUUAAAAGCGUGCAUGUAGCUGCACAUCCAUUGCUGGCACUUCUUCCGUUAGCCUCCGCUGGAACUGGUUAGUGAGGACCCCUCCAUUUCACAAGACAGCUUCGGUUUUGCUUCGUUUUGACUUCCGCACCCCGAAGCUGUAGCACCAGUUUGUUUUCUCACGGCACAGGGGCGGCUUCCGGGGCGCGGCGUGCUGGGGGUUGUAG